rnacentral:rRNA from 1 species
AUGAAGGCCAAGUGGCUGGCGAUUGCGAAAGUGCACACGUCCAGGGGCUUUAGCCCGAGCGCCUUGUUUGCAGACAUGAGAUCUGCUUGGAAUCCUGCAAAGGAGGUGAUUUGGAGAAGUGUUGAUGAUAAUCUGUUCACAGUGCAAUUCGGCUGCCUGGGAGAUUGGAAUAAGGCGAUGACGAUGGGGCCGUGGUUUUUCCGCGACCACGCUUUGAUGAUAGAGGAAUAUGACAGUUUUGCUAACCCUAGAUCGUUGGUCUUGAAUAAGAUCAUAGUUUGGGCUCAGGUUCACAAGCCGAUGGGAGAGGUUAAAGAGGUUCAGAUCAAGAUCCCAUCGGGCUUCAUGGGAAAAUUCAUGAGAGUAAAGGUCAAUAUGAGGGUGGAUAAGAAGAUCACACGUUUUGUGUCCAUAACAAAGGAUGAGAAGGAGUGGUACCAAGUAAAAUAUGAAAAAUUGCCUACGUUCUGUGGUUUCUGUGGUCUCAUGGGGCACUGGCAUGAGGAGUGCGGCAAUGGUGAGAAUGACGAGGAUACCCUGGAGUGGGGAGAUUUUAUACUGGCUGAUGGAGGACAUGGUAGAGGAAGAGGAAGGGGUGGAGGACGACACCCAGGGGGACGAUCAGCUGCUGCAGAUAACCCUUUUGGGAGGGGACGAGCUUCUAAUACAGUUAAUCCUUUUGGGAGGGGGCGUGGUUCUGAUGAUGCAGAUGUUGUAGGAGUGAACCCUGGCCAAGGUCAGACAAACCAACCAGCCUCUGGGAGCGAUGGUGUGCUUGGCAAGAGAAUAGCUGCAGACUCUGUAUCCACUCCCGUGAGUGAGCCCGCGGCUGUGGAAUCAAAGCUAUCUGGAGCGAUUUUGGUAGCACAUAAAGGGGCGACUAACACAGAAGAUGAUGAUCUGCGUGUCGGGGAAAGUAGUGUGGCUGAUCCAAUGAGCACCCCAUAG